rnacentral:rRNA from 1 species
GGAUUAAUACUCUAUGUUGUUCGAUGCGGACAUCUAAAUUGAACCAAAGGUUUUACCGGUAUUAGGGAUGGGGAUGCGUCUGAUUAGGUUGUUGGCGGGGUAACGGCCCACCAAGCCAGCGAUCAGUAGGGGUUCUGAGAGGAAGGUCCCCCACAUUGGUACUGAGACACGGACCAAACUCCUACGGGAGGCAGCAGUGAGGAAUAUUGGUCAAUGGGCGAGAGCCUGAACCAGCCAAGUAGCGUGCAGGAUGACGGCCCUAUGGGUUGUAAACUGCUUUUGCCGGGGAAUAAAGUGCAGUACGUGUACUGUUUUGUAUGUACCCGGAGAAUAAGGACCGGCUAAUUCCGUGCC